rnacentral:rRNA from 1 species
AACGAACGCUGGCGGCAUGCCUAACACAUGCAAGUCGAACGAGAUCUUCGGGUCUAGUGGCGCACGGGUGCGUAACGCGUGGGAAUCUGCCCUUUGGUUCGGAAUAACAGUUGGACACGACUGCUAAUACCGGAUGAUGACGAAAGUCCAAAGAUUUAUAGCCAGAGGAUGAGCCCGCGUAGGAUUAGCUAGUUGGUGUGGUAAAGGCGCACCAAGGCGACGAUCCUUAGCUGGUCUGAGAGGAUGAUCAGCCACACUGGGACUGAGACACGGCCCAGACUCCUACGGGAGGCAGCAGUGGGGAAUAUUGGACAAUGGGCGAAAGCCUGAUCCAGCAAUGCCGCGUGAGUGAUGAAGGCCUUAGGGUUGUAAAGCUCUUUUACCCGGGAUGAUAAUGACAGUACCGGGAGAAUAAGCUCCGGCUAACUCCGUGCCAGCCGCCGCAGUAA